rnacentral:rRNA from 1 species
UACGGAGGAUGCGAGCGUUAUCCGGAUUUAUUGGGUUUAAAGGGUGCGUAGGCGGACGCUUAAGUCAGCGGUAAAAUUGCGGGGCUCAACCUCGUCGAGCCGUUGAAACUGGGUGCCUUGAGUGGGCGAGAAGUACGCGGAAUGCGUGGUGUAGCGGUGAAAUGCAUAGAUAUCACGCAGAACUCCGAUUGCGAAGGCAGCGUACCGGCGCCCUACUGACGCCGAAGCACGAAGGCGUGGGUAUCGAACAGG